UGGCCGAUGCCGUGGCGGCCAUCUGCUGGCUUAUCGUUGGCGAUAAGGCUGUCCUAGACCCCCCAUGGACACCGACGCCAAACCAUAGCUUCACACCUCCCAUCCCUCAUGCUGCUCCCUUCUCCCUCGCGCAGAGGAGAGCCGCUGUCUCCAUGGACAAGCUCACCCCCACGGCCACCAUGCUCCCUGCCGCCUGGGACCGUGCCCGUUCGCUUCACCGCCAUCGUCUUCCUCUCCCUCCCACACACACGCGAGCAACACCCCUUCUUCGCCCUCAAGCUUGCCUUCUUCCAGUUCCAACCGUCGGAGCGCCGUCGCAUUGAGCUCCUACCCCAAGCCUCCCCGCACCCACUUUGCUCACCUACACGCUCGCGGUGAGCCUGUGUUUCUUUUCCCCCAAUCCGCACGCUCGGUUUCGAGCCCCGACGCUUCAUUCGCUGGCGACCAAAACGCUCCGUCGCGGAAGCUCAUCGCCGACGGGCCUCUGGUGACCAAAAGGUCCCGGGCUCGCGUGCAUCUACUUCGCCGCAUCGUGUAGGACCUCUCUAGCCCGCCCUUUUGCUCGAUAGCGCGCUGCAUCACCUCGCUCGCGAUUGCCCAAGCUUCGGUCGCCGCAAGGCUCGUCGCCGGCGUCGAUCCCGUCCAUUCUAGCUGCGAUCACCAACGUGGAUAGAUGCGACGUUGAGUUCUCAUUGAAUUCCGACCAGCCGCAUGCAAAAUGAGGCCCCGUAGCGACAUUUCGACGAUGUCCGAGCCCUUCGCCGUGUGUUUGGCUCUGGCGGCAUCUGCCGAUAGGGUUGACCUAGGGUCACUCCCUAGUGUCACUACAUGUGGGCCCCCGUGUUGACUAGUUGACCACGGUCAGCUAGCUCACUUGGUUGUGCCCUGUCACUCAUAGUGGGCCACACCCCCGGGCCACUCACAUGUGGGUCUGGGUCAUUAGCCCUAAUUAGGUUGUUAAAAUAAUUAAAGCAAUUAAUUUUAUUUGUUAAUACACUCAGAUGUGGUGCCCCCAUUAAUUAGUUUAAUUAAUUUAGUUAAUUUAGCAUCUUUUACUCCCACUAUUUAUGAUAACUUGGUCCCACUAGUGAGUUGACUAGUCAAAGUGGCUGGUCGGCUCCUGAUGUGAGGGUGAUUUCAGGCUCGCUUAUUAAAUGCUUUUUUGAAUUGAAUGAAAUAUGUUAAUUCCGAAAUAUUAAUAAAACUUUAAAAAUAAUUUAUACAUAAAAGUUGCUCAAAAAAAUUCCACGAAUCUGAAUACGCUGUCCGUUCAUUUGUCACACGCCUCUAGUAUGAUGAACAUGGUCAUUUAGCAGUAGGAUCAUGUGUGUGGUAUAAGCGAGAGACCCGAGAAUUAUCGCCGGAUAUUUUCCCGCUCCGUUUGUAAUGUGUAGUACCGCGUUAGCUCAUCCAUAACACUGCAUGUUGACAUGUCAUGCAUCAUGAUGAAUUUGUGUGUCCUAUAUUUAUUGUUUCUUCCCCCUCUUCUCUUCGAUAGACACUCAGACUGACAUUGCUGUCGUGUACGACAACGUUUGUGAUGAUGAGCCUUUUGCAACACAACAGCAAGGUAAGCAAGCCCCCAUGAUCAUUCUGAUAUCACCGGUUCUUUCUCUCUCAUGCUUGCAUUAGAUUUAGUAUUGUUGUAGAUAACUCCUAUUCUGAUGCAUAGCCUGUUUUUUUAAAACUGUUAUUGUACGUGACUGUUAUACUAAAUGCUUAGUAUAGUUUGAUUAGUGAUCCCCAAUAACCCCACUUGUCCCACUUGCCCUCAUUGAAGACUCGAUGACGCGAAGACUCGAUCAACUUGAUCGACGAGCCAUGCUCGUAUUAUCACCUCAUUCCCCUUAGUUCUACGACUGUCUAGAGCUACUAUCGUGUACCGAGGGUGUCACCUCGUAACGUUCCCCGGAUGCUAACUCUGUAGUGUAGUUAACCGAAAAUGGAUUACGAGGGUGAUUCCCCUUCACCAUUUCCAGUAACGGCUCUGUCGUGCGACACCUCAAGCAUGAACCAUCGAGGGUGAUUCCUCCUUGGUCACCUUAACGAUUGCAUCGAUUGGAAUCCAUCGAGGAUGAUUCCUCGGAUUCCCUUGAUGUUAUGAACACACGGUUACCUUUACUUUACUAUAGUACAUUGAUGAGUUGGGUGGAAUGGGUGGAUACCCGUGUGAUGACGAUGGGGCAGGGCCGUGCAUUCUGGGCCCUUGUCAUAAGACCUCGAGACGGGGCGACGAGAGCACAUAUCGUGGAUCAUUGAUCGUCAUCGCAGUUAACAAAACAUUAAUGGGUUUGGAUAUAUUAUCUAAGAAGGCCUCUUGCAUUUUCGCACUAACAACCACGCGGGAAUAAGUAUGAGCACUAUGCGUCGUACAUUGGGCUAAAAGCUCUCUAGAUGUCACAGCUGAGCGGCACAUGCCCGGCUGGCCCGCAUAAGCACCUCUUUGUAUUAAGAGGUGUUAGAGCAUAUUUGUCUAUAUGUGGUUUUGGUAAUUGAUGAAAAUACCUAUGGACUAAUGGUUGCCUUAAAUUAUAUUUGAAGGAUUUGUCCAUAGACACUUCUUGAAGUCCAUCUGUUGGUUUUAAGGAGUUUAUAUGAUAACCAAGGUGGUAUUCAAGGUAUUAUCCAAAGAAUAGUCGUAAAGACACAAGGUUGAUCAAGACUAAGUCAAAGGGUAAAUCAAGUUGAUCAAUGCACAAAGCGUAAAAGAUGUGCCAAGAGGGAUCAAGUGAUCCCAUGGUAUGAUAAGCAUUGUCCAUUAUACUUUUGUGUACUAACCCAUGAUAUUUGUGAGAGUUCUAUGUGGGGUUAGGUGUGUUUCCAUGGGCUCGCGUCAAGAGGAAGAUCUCAUACAACCCAUGAAGGAUGACGUCAAGUGGUGAUCGUCAUCAAGAUUGCGGUGUGCAAGUUCAAGUGGAGCAUCACGAAGAUGUCUUACUUGAAGCUUGACGUCCAUUCUGGUGGCAAUGGACCUGUGAAGAUGUGCUGAAGAGUGGCUCACCCAUAGUGAGUAUGGGGAGCAAUCAACUAGUCUUUAUCAAGUCAACGCAAUCAAGAAAGAUGGUCCAUCUUGAGGAAGUAAAUAUCGUCAUAUCCUAGCUCAACUAGACUAUGUGCAAGGUAUAUGUUUGCCCUUUAUAGGUUUUUCUAUUUUAGGAUAGAUUGUCGUACUGUCAAGGGGGGCUCUCAAGUGAGUAUCUUGAUCGUAUAAUUCGUUGAGAGGUCAAACCAUUUGCAUCCUUGCAUCAUAUUUCUUGGUUCUUGUUUGGUGAUUCCCUUUGUGAGUUGUAGAAUUUAUGGUAAUCUUCAUGACAAGCUCAAGUUCAUCGAAAACGGAGUCCAUAUGCAUCUUCUGUGAUGUUUUCGAUGUUGGAGUUUUUGUCGGUUCUUCAUUCAUAGAGGUUUCACAUCUCUAUAUCAUUGGCAUUUUUCAUAUCUGUCUAUUCUUAAGAUUUCCUGAAUCCAACAAGCUUGAGUUUGCUCAAUUCGGAGCUCGUAUGCGAAAGUUAUGGCAGUUCAGGGAAGGUUUUCUCUCUCA
rnacentral:lncRNA from 1 species